UUUAUUUUUAUUAUCAGUCAGUGUACAAACUUUAUGGCUGUUUGCUGUUGUAGCUUCUUGUAGUGAAGGUUACGCUUGAAACUUGUGUUGGCUGGUUCUGCUUUCCCCAGUCAUGCCACGUUUGGGAGGGAGUAACUGAAUGUCUGUAAGAAUUCACUUUCCCUAUUUGCCUUCCUCAAGUCAAGCCCCAGUAUUUGCCUUCUAAUAGCCCCACUUCUCAGCACAGGUCUUGCAUGCCACAGGGGGUCAGUAUUUUUUUCUUUGGGCAAUAGAAUAUAAAUCUCAAGAGAUAGUGUGCAGUUCCCCUAUGCUAAGAUAAGGUCCUUGACAAGAUUCCCACAUUUCUGGUCAGACACAGCCUGUAAUGAUGGCCAACCAACAUAUUUGGGCAGUGCUUCUGCACAGCCUGGGAAAAUUCUAUGCCUCCCAUGUUAAUCCUGCACGGCAGGAUGCACUUGUGUCUGUGCCAGAGAUCCCUGCCUUGUACCAGUGCAGGCAUUAGAAAGCUCAGGUGGAAAUGUCAGAGAUGUUUAAAAUCCUAUUUUCUCAUGUGUUCUGUGUUUUAUCAUCCUGCCACAGUAACAUGCCUGAGGUUUCUCUCAGUGAUUUUCUUCUCCAUUUUUUUUCAAUUGUAAAUACAUUCUGUAGACAUUCCUAGACUGAAAUGACAUUAUUGGGGCAACGUCUCUGUGCUACAAACCUCAAAGCAAAACAUGGUCUGAUAGAGUGUCAUGCUGAGCCACAGAAUGCUUUUUCCAAGGCAGUGUCACAAGUAUUCAGUCAAUAUUUGUUUCCCUUCUGUCUGUUUGCUUGAAUAUGUGUGAAGACUUCCCACGGCAUCCAAAUCCACUUUCUUUUCUCCACGUUGGUGAUCUAAAAAGUGCCUGUAUGUCUUAUGGGGCUACACUACAUUGUGGGACUACACUAAAAGCCUUUCUUCCUUUCCCACAGGGAGAGUGGAGAACGCAGAGACAAGGGUGGAUGCCCCAUUCCUGGAGGUGCUCAAGGCCAGGCUGGGUGGGGCCCUGGGCAGCCUGACCUGUUGGAGGGCAACCAGUCCACUGCAGAGGAUGGGGCUGUAAGGUCUCAUCCAACCUCAGCCUCUGUGAUUCUGUGAUAAGUUCUCUCCGAAACAUUCUCUGGCUGUUUUGCAGAAGAAAUAGGGAGCUGGUGGUGAGAGAUGAUCCGGAGAUGACAAGCAACUUUCAGAGAGUGAGAUUUGGUCUUUUCAAUAAGAAAAGUGUGAUGUUCGUGUCAUUCAGGCACUGCAGAAAAGCAGAGCUUCCUCUCUGUUAGCACUCACCUUCU
ensembl:lncRNA